CACACUCUGAACCAGCAGGAAGUUUUUUAGUAACACAAAAUGCCACACUGAGCACAACCUAAUUGAAAGCUGUAUAAAGCAGAUUGGACUCUCCCUGUCAUAUGGGGGUGUGAUGCUGCCAGUGCUUAAGGUCCAGUGAACUAAUUCAAUCUCCUGUGAGCAAUCUGAGUGUUCUCAACAUCUAGUUAGUGAAUGCUCUAAAACCACUCCUGAAUUUACCCUAUCUUAAUUUCUCUAGGCAGAUAAGGCCCAAUACAAUCAAUCUACUUCUUUUGUGUCCCACUUUGAGGUGGUCAAGGGAGCAAGGUAGAAUCAGAGAAGCUGUAAAUUUGCCUCAAGGAAGAGGAAAUCAAGUGUAAAUGAGACAAAUAAAUUCUUGCUAUAUACUUUAGGCUUUAGCUUAGACUCAUGGUACUUAAAGAGAAAUUUACAUAUAAGAAUAAAAGAAAACAAUUACAGUAGAAAGAGCAAAAAGCAGAAGGAAGUCAUGGUCAAGAUUAAGGUAAAAACAUGAAGAUGGGAAGGAGGGAUCUGCUUUAUUCAACAAAUGCACUUUGUUUUCUCGCAUGCAAUUUUGCAUGCUAAAAUUUAAAUGCUAAAGCUUAAAUGUAAUAUACUUCAUUAUUUACCUUACUCAUGGAUUUCACCAAAAAAUUUUAAACCAAGGAUGUAAGCUGCCUUGUUUCCUAACUCAUUCAGGAAAUGAUCAUCAGUAAAAUCAUUGUGGAGAUGCUUAUCAUUCCAAUUAAAGGCAACUCUAUCAGCAUGGUUAUUGAAUUCACAAACCCCUUUUUAUUAGCUCUGCCUCCCUCUUUUUACAUCUGGUGGUGUUUAUCCGAUUUAGGUGAAUGGUUAUUUUUGUCUACUAAAAGAAAGGUAAGUUAUUUACUCACAAAAACCCCAUUUAAUUAUGAACUCUAAAAUUCACUCCAGCAUAAACUGGAUCCAAUUAACUAAAUCACAUGAUUUUGCCUGUCUGGAAUUACAGAAAACAUAGAGCCAGUCUUGAGGCAGUGGGUCUACAUCCAGCAUGUAUGAGGGCUCAUUCAAUCUCACAGUGUUUUCUGUAAGAAACAAAAAAUGGCUCAAGUAGUUGUGGUGGAAGAAAAGAGAAACAUGAGACCCAAAUAUUCACCUGUUUUUCUAAAGGCCUCAGAAAAUCUGAGAGAAGUUGUGGCUCCGCUAUUAGAUAUUCUGGUAGUAUUGGGGCACUGCCAACACCAGCAGGACAGAGCAACAUUACCAUGUCUCUAUGAGGCAACAGGAAGAUAUUUGCCAUUGACAUACUUGUCUCUUCAUCAUCUUUUACACAAGUACACACUGCAACCUGCCCCAAUGCCUCUGCUGUACGUGUGCAUUCACUGAGGUAAUAUACUUCCCGCUCUAUCUCCACUUUAUUUCCUCUGUUCAAAGAUCCAAGAGUUGUUACGUCAAAAGUGUGUCUUUUAUUGCCCAUAAACAUCACUUUAGUGUUAGUACAGCUGCCUUCAUUGGACCUGUCUUUACAAUUGCAAACAAAAGACUUGAUUUAGCACAUACUAGACUGCCUUACUGCUGAGCUGGGAAAGCUCCACAUGUGCUAGCAGCUUGCUUCCCUUGGAUUAUGGUCCUAGGGCUCUAAAAUCCUUUAAACAUAAAUAAAGUUAAAAGAUCCUCAGAAAAUACAGAUUUGCAGACCCAUCAAUCUGAUGUUUCUGAAGAACCAAAGGAACAUGAAGACUCUGGAAAUGGGAUCUCUUUUGCCAAAGGAAAACAAUUAUACUAUUUUAUAUUUCUACACCUUCCACUCCAAGACACUUGACAAUAUUUUAGCAUUUAGCAAGAGAACACACCUAUUAAUGAAAACACUAUUUUUUCCCAAACAAUAAAAUGGAGAUUAAAUUAUAUUUUAAGAAACAAAAAGAUCUCUUGUUCUAAGUUUGCUUCCAAGACCUGACUGUUUGACUGAGAUUUUUACUUAAUCACACUAAAUGAUGAUAGAAAGAAUGUAAAAUUUUUAUUAUUUGAGGAAAACAGGAGUUAGAUUGAGUUGAAAUGACACCAACAAAGUAUAUUUCAGACAACUUACAUUUGAAUUUCUGAUACAUGUGACUUUUAAGGUGCAUUCAUUAAGUAAUGUAUCGUACCCUACAUUGGGUAAUGGAGUUAUUAUUUCAGGGGUUUUUCCCUCAAAAUUAAGUUCAGUUUCAUGAAGUACUGAAAUAGCUGACCAAUGAAGUGAUUUCAAAUACAAAACUUGAAUGAGGUGAUACCAUACCAAUUGAAGUCUUUUUAAGUCAACUCUGCAAUGCAGAAACUUUAUUAUACCUUCAUACUAAUCAAUAGAGCAUGCAAAUACUGACAGUAAGGACUAUUAAAACAGGCAAAGAAGUUUUAUGGGAUUCAUCUUAACAACUACCCACUUGAAAAAAAACAAGAAAAAGGUAAUUAUGUAAAUUUCUUAUGAUAAUUAAACCUGAAUUUGUAUAUUCAAUAAUUCACUCUGUCUUCACAUAUCAAUAUUGUACCAGUAUACAACAUAAUUCACUUUCACAAUGUGAUAUCAGAUGCCUCUAGCUAUAUUAAAUAUGUAAAUUUAAAAAAAUAAGUCAAUUCAAAGUCAUAAAUUGAUUCCUAAAAUAUCAUCGCCAUGAAACAAAAUAAAUAAUUUUAGCUAAAACUUUAGCUAAGCGCAUUCAUACUUCUUUUUAGGCAGAAUCUUCCUACACACAAGCAACAACUCUGAGCAUAGGAAACAAAAGUUUAUUGGCAAGAAUGUGUUAACACAUUCCUCUUGUGAAGAAGAACUUAUCAACUUUAUUGUGAACUUAUCAGAUUACAAAGAUUUGUUCAGACCGCGUGCAGAAAAAAAUCCUUUCCCCAUUUGUGGCAGGAUAGAGGGUUUAAAGCACAAAGAGAAAACAAUGGAACAGUACUAAUGAUCAAGGCCCAAUAUUAAAAAAACCUCUUCCUUUCUGUUCUCUGUGUCUUGAAAUGCUGAAGUUAAUAAGCCUUCAUUUUGGCAAGGUCUUUAUGAAAAGGAGGAGAGAACCUAUGAUUAAUGGGUUGCAGCAAAAAUAAAUAAAUGAGGACAAGAUGAUACUGUGAAAGUAAGCUUGAAUAGGUAGCAGAAAGUUGCCAAAUAAGCUGAAUAGUUGAAAACCGCCUUUUGUAAAAUGAAUCACUCUAUUCUUUAUUAAAAAUUUAGAAAUUAGUCCUUUACUUAAACAUUUUAAAAAUAUAGUCAAAUUAUUGCACAAAUUAUUUUAUUAAAUUAUUGUUGAUUUUAUUAGGUAAGUUAUUUCCUUAAAUCAAUUGGAACUAUACCUCUUAUUUGACACUGCUGCAGUGCCAGAGGAAAAAUCUUGAAUCUUGAAAUAUAUCACUGCAUGGUAUAUUAUUGAUGAUUUGUAGUAUAAUGGAGUACUAGGACAACUACAACACAUACUGUUCUUCUGUUCCUCUGCUCUUUCUCACCUUAGGAGCAUGAGAAGUGCAAUUUGAAAAUAAGGAUUUCAGAAGCAGCAUUUUAAAGGGAAUUCAGCGUUCAUGGCUGUGGUUUUCUAUUUGUCUCAUAGAAUUCUUCUAUUAUGAUUUUUUUUGAAGUAGAAAAAAGUGUCCUUUAAGUGUUUUGGGUACUUUAAACUUGACUUCCCCUGCAGUCCACAUCUAUGUAUAUUGGAAUUCACCAUUGCCUCAUACGAGUCUUGUGAUUUUCCAUUCCCUCCAAAGUGUCCUAUUUGGAAUAAAUUUUUCAAAUAAAGAAAGGUUCUGAAAGCUUGGUUUGUAAAAGAUCCUUUUUUUUCCUCUAACUCUUUGCAUGAAAAAUUCUUUCUGUCUAUGGAAUCUGUUUGAACUUUUUUGUCACUGAAUCCUAGGCUUCUUGGAAUUUUAAAAAAGACCAUAGUUGCCUAUAAUUUGUAGAGUUGCACAGACUUAGUUUGUGUCCACUCAAAUGCAUUAACUUUCCAUUUCCAAAUGUCUCUCAAAUAUUGAUUCAUAACACUCAUGUUUACAAGAUUCUCUCUCCUAAAAGAAAUUAUGUAUUUUUGUAAGCGUAUGAGGCAAGCAUUAUUUUGGCAGAUGGGGAAAGAUCAUGGGUAAGAAAUUUGAAAUAAGACCAGGAAAAAGAGUUAGGUAAAACAUAAAAGGGAGCAUACAGGUCCCGGGUUGAUACAAAAGUAAUUUCCAUAGAAAUUGUGGCUGGAUGAAGACAAAAACUUUAAGAAACCUUGGAUUGAAAAGAAAUAGUAAGAUACAGAUAAACUGUAGCGACUGCGAACAAUGGGCAAAGUGUGGUACUCUCACUGCACUUUGUGCCUUUCUAACUUCAGUCACUGCUGUGCAGCCACUAUCACAAAACCUCCUUUAAGCCAUAGUUUCUGCUCGUGUUACAAGGUCUUAUUUACGCCUCUU